GUGUUUGGAUGAAGCAUCUGCUAAUCAUACACAUAGCUAACGGUAUAUGGACUCUACAGCCCAUUAUGAUGUGGUGAAGUAACUGUGCUGUGGCAGAGACUAGCGUGUGUGCUUUACAUGAGAGGUCAGGGGUUCAAGACUGAGUCGAUGGAUGUGAGGUGAGUAUGCCUGUGGAGUGGGGUUUGUGUUGUAUCUUGUCUGAUCACAAGCUAUGUUUAGCGGGUGUAUAAGUUAGGCUACUCUCAGUUAUUAUAUGAUCUUGAUAUUUGAACACAUGAAUUACGCUGAAUUAUGUUGGUACAAUGACAGAAUGCUGCUGUGAAGUUGAGUAGCCUCUCGCUUGGAGAACUUUAAGACCUCUGGGACUUAAGUGGGCAUGCAGAGUGCUGUGGUCAGUGUCAAAAUGUGACAUGAUUUUCACUGAUUUAACUUGUCCUUCAUGGCCCAGGUAUGGGUAGGCCUGUCAUGGGAGGCGGAAAAAUGGCCAGCAGGAAGGUGUGCAGCAGCCACCGGAAUGACCUCUUCCACCUCCUCCACUAACAGCUCCUCAUCAGCUGGCAGUGGGAUGUGAUCCUGAAGGGCCAUGUUGCAGAAGCGACGUCACCAAAACUACACUGCACGCCUUUGCAGGAUGGAGCUUCAGGCCACCAGCGGAUUUGCUCACACACCUUUCCACAUGCCCAGGGCCCUCUCCACAACAACGCGGGUCCGGCUAUGGGCGUUGUUGUACCGCGCCUCUGCCUCGCUAUUGGGCUCCUAGAUGGAGCAGUUGACAUGCUUGUAUUAUCAUAGGGGGUUGAUGGAAUAAAGUAGGUCUUGAAAUGUCA